rnacentral:rRNA from 1 species
AACUUUCAGCAACGGAUCUCUUGGCUCUCGCAUCGAUGAAGAACGCAGCGAAUUGCGAUAAGUAAUGUGAAUUGCAGAAUUCAGUGAAUCAUCGAAUCUUUGAACGCACCUUGCGCUCUUUGGUAUUCCGAAGAGCAUGCCUGUUUGAGUGUCA